GGGGAUCAAGCGAAAUAGCUCACCAUUCGACAGCAACGAGGCGUCCUCCCCAUGCGACUAUCUGGCGGGCGGAGUUUUUGUUCAUCCGAAUGAUGACGAUGACUCGGGACCAGCAACGGCAGGGUGACUAAGAUGGCUCGGGACCGGCAACGGCGGGGUGAGUAAGCCUCGGGGUCUCCGUGGAGCGGCGGCUACGGCACCUCGGCGGAAUAGAAGAGCCUCGCAUGUCCCGGUCUAGAUCUGCAGCGGAGACCAAAGGAAAAUGUGAUCACUGGAGAAGAGGAAGGAACCCAAUCUAGACUAGUGCAUUUUUCUGAUUUUCAAUGUUUCAACCAAUGUAAGUAUGAUGUUUCUUGGGGAAUCAAAAUGUUUCGCUGAGUAGUUUGAAUCUUGUU
rnacentral:sRNA from 1 species